ensembl:snRNA U6 U6 spliceosomal RNA
GUUUGCGCUGGCUUCGGCAGUCAUCCACUAAGAUUGGGACAAUACAGAGAUUAGCAUGGCCUCUGUGCAAGGAUAACACGCAGAUUCAUGAAGUUCCGUAUUUAAAA